rnacentral:rRNA from 1 species
UACGAAGGGGGCUAGCGUUGUUCGGAAUUACUGGGCGUAAAGCGCACGUAGGCGGAUUGUUAAGUCAGAGGUGAAAUCCCGGAGCUCAACUUCGGAACUGCCUUUGAUACUGGCAAUCUAGAGUCCGGAAGAGGUUAGUGGAAUUCCCAGUGUAGAGGUGAAAUUCGUAGAUAUUCGGAAGAACACCAGUGGCGAAGGCGGCUCACUGGUCCGGUACUGACGCUGAUGUGCGAAAGCGUGGGGAGCAAACAGG